rnacentral:rRNA from 1 species
UACGUAGGUGGCAAGCGUUGUCCGGAUUUAUUGGGUUUAAAGGGUGCGUAGGCGGCUUUGUAAGUCAGUGGUGAAAUAUGGCAGCUCAACUGUCAGGGUGCCAUUGAUACUGCAGAGCUUGAGUACAGAUGAGGUAGGCGGAAUUGACGGUGUAGCGGUGAAAUGCUUAGAUAUCGUCAAGAACACCGAUAGCGAAGGCAGCUUACUACGCAUAUAUUGACGCUGAGGCACGAAAAGCGUGGGGAUCAAACAGG